rnacentral:rRNA from 1 species
CCUACGGGGGGCAGCAGUGAGGAAUAUUGGUCAAUGGGCGAGAGCCUGAACCAGCCAAGUCGCGUGAAGGAUGACGGCCCUACGGGUUGUAAACUUCUUUUGUCAGGGAGCAAUUGGUCCACGCGUGGGCUUAGCGAGAGUAACUGAAGAAAAAGCAUCGGCUAACUCCGUGCCAGCAGCCGCGGUAAUACGGAGGAUGCGAGCGUUAUCCGGAUUUUUUGGGUUUAAAGGGUGCGUAGGCGGAAUAUCAAGUCAGCGGUAAAAAUUCGGGGCUCAACCCCGGCCUGCCGUCGGAACUGGGUGCCUUGAGUGGGCGAGAAGUAUGCGGAAUGCGUGGUGUAGCGGUGAAAUGCAUAGAUAUCACGCAGAACCCCGAUUGCGAAGGCAGCAUACCGGCGCCCUACUGACGCUGAGGCACGAAAGUGCGGGUAUCGAACAGGAUUAGAUACCCCUGUAGUC